GGAGAGGUGGCUGAGUGGUCGAAAGCGGCUUCCUGCUAAGAAGUUACGGGGCCCAAAAGCUCCGUCGAGGGUUCGAAUCCCUCCCUCUCCG
rnacentral:tRNA from 11 species